GGAGGGGGAGAGAGAGAGAGAGAGAGAAAGGGAAAGGGCACAAUAGGUGCCUUGUUACACGGGGCUCACUGUCACAUGAUCUGGGCAUGUCACCUGUCAGACAUGUCCCCAAUAAUGCAGCCGCCACUUGACAUCUGCCAGCUGCCAACCCUGUCCACAUGGAUGUGAGCUCCUCUUGGGGGCAGAGGUGUGGACAUCGCUCAUUAAUGCAGGAAAAUCAAAACUUAAACCCAGCAUAGGAAGGUGAGGGGGAAGAGUGAGGAUGCAGCUUGUGGGAAGCCCAGAGGUCACAAUGAUCGGAUCACUCCUAGCUGGUGAGCAGCUGCCUACGGAUCCUCUAGCCGCUUCGCCCUGAGGCCUCAUGUUGGAUGUGUUCUCAUCCAGUGGCAAGGAGCCACCUUUUCUCGGGCUAUUUUACUAGUAGGAUGCCCCAUCGUGGAUAUCCACUGCUGGUAAGGUUUUCCUUCAUCUGACACAUGUGGCGCCGCUCAGCCCCCCUCGGCCCCCCUCCACCUCCUCACUUCCUGUGCUCCAGCAGAGCCCUUACCCGCUCCAGGAGCAAGCAGCCAGCUGUAGAGGUAGCCUGCAGCCAGGGAGUAGUACAGCACUAGUCCCCGCUGUGCGUUAACCAUCUCUAAGAUCUGGUCGAUGGUGAUGGGUGAGUAGGGGUCGGAGUCCUGUUGUCCCGUCUGCCUUUCCACCAGCAGGUCAGCAAAUGCUCUCGUCCGGCCCCUUUCUGCCACGGCCAGGGCUUCAUCGUGGUGGCCUAGGAGACAGAGGGACAGGUGUGCUCACUCAGGGAGCAGCUGAGCAGCCAGUCAUCUGAUCUGGAGGAGACCCACGGCCUCUGUGUCAGCGCUGGCAGAAUUUCAGGGCUGUGCACACCUGUUCCUGCUGCCUGGAAGCUGAAGCCUGACAACAUGAAGCCACACAUGAGGGACACACUGCAGACGACAGACUUUAGGGUAAACACCAACAUGGAAAUGUUGUCAGAGCAAGGUCUGAGGAGACAAGACUGAGGCUGGGAGCCCAGGCCACAACUCUGGUGACUCCAGAGGCUUCACCCCCUGUUGUUCAGGCAGCCUUACAAAGAAGGGGUUUAUGUGAGUGCGUGCAAACACCCUCCCUUACGCUAUUAACUUAUUAACUGGAACAGCAGGGAUGAUUUCUGCACACACUGGAGAAUUAUCCCCAAAGUGCUGGGCAGACUUAACAGUGUGAUCAUAAUGGCAAUAAAUGACAUCCCAGGCAUGA